rnacentral:rRNA from 1 species
UACCAGCUCUUCGAGUGGUGUGGAUGUUUAUUGGGCCUAAAGCAUCCGUAGCUGGCUGGGCAAGUCCCCUGUUAAAUCCACCGAUUUAAUCGUUGGAGUGCGGGGGAUACUGUUCGGCUAGGGGACGGGGGAGGCAGACGGUAUUUUCGGGGUAGGGGUGAAAUCCUAUAAUCCCGAGAAGACCACCAGUGGCGAAGGCUGUCUGCUAGAACGCGCCCGACGGUGAGGGAUGAAAGCUGGGGGAGCGAACCGGAUUAGAUACCCGGGUAGUCCCAGCUGUAAACGAUGCAGGCUAGGUGUUUGGACGGCCACGUGCCGUUCUAGUGCCGCAGGGAAGCCGUUAAGCCUGCCGCCUGGGGAGUACGGCCGCAAGGCUGAAACUUAAAGGAAUUGGCGGGGGAGCACCACAAGGGGUGAAGCUUGCGGUUU